rnacentral:lncRNA from 1 species
AUGUGGCAAAUAUUCUUAAGUGAUCUCAUUUCUCCCUUCUGCACCCGAAGGCCUCAGUCCUUCUCAACUAGCACUUCAGGUGGCCGUUACCAACGAAAUGGAUUUGUACAAAAGAUGAAAAUGAUCUUCUAUCCUCAUGAUGGAAUAUUUUCAUACACUAGAUGGGUCACGUGUGGAUGAAGGGAGUUUCUCAGUACAGAUGAGAAAACAGAUCAAAAGAAGGGGAUUUGGGCUUUGUAUCAUCAGAUUGGAAACUCUGUGAGGACAGGAACUUUGUUGACUAUUUUAUCCUCUGCACUUUGCCUGGCCCAGAGAAGUUGACCGAACUUGUCUGACGCAACAAAGUGGGUAAAGAGAAGGACAAGGAUGGAGUCAUCAAAGGAUAAACUUGAUAAGGGCAGAGCCCACAGUUCCACAUGUGAAAUCCAUGACCUGAUUGUCAAUGGGGAGAGUCUCCCCUGUGUCUGCUGGACUCCCUGAGCAUGGCGUGCUUCAGAGGACUGUCAGCAGAUUGUUGACUGCAGAAUUCAACGACCUAAAGGAGAAGAGCUUGACAAGCUUGAUGUAGCAG